rnacentral:tRNA from 1 species
GAGCCCGUAGCGCAGUGGUCGGCGCAUCUCCAUAGCGUGGGGAGGGACGCUGGUUCGAAUCCAGCCGGGUUCA